GAGCCAGUUUAUCAAUCUGGAUGGUGCCUAUCAAGGGCUGGGGCUGCAAAACAUCUCAA
rnacentral:sRNA from 1 species